AUUCCACAGGAUGGAUCCAAGGGCUUCAAAUGUGCUUCACAGACAAGGAAAAAAUCUCCCAGUUGGCCGCUCCUGGAUUCCUUAGCUCGGAACUCCAGACACAUAUUCAGACAUGGCCUAGUACAGAUAUGUUCUACAACUGGAAAAAAAUGGUUAUGAUUGAGGCUUAGAAGUGGAGUGCAGUGAAGAAACUUUAGGGAAGCCUGACAACCACACCCUCUGCUGAUCCCUGUGGAAUUUUACAUGGAUAAUGAGUAAAAGACUGUCCUGCCAAUAGAGAAUACAGUGAAACGGUAUGGAACAUACACAGUGGAACAGAGGACACUGAUGGAACAGUGUUUAUAAGCACAAAGUUUGGAAGUACGGAAUCCUAGAUAAAAUCCUGACUGUGGAAUUAACUGCGUGACCUUCGGCAAAUUACUUCAUCUCUUUGAGCCUCAGUGUCUUCACAUAUAAAAUGAGAAUAAUAAAAGCCCUUAUCUCAUAGUA
rnacentral:lncRNA from 1 species